rnacentral:lncRNA from 1 species
CCACUGCAACCUCUGCGAGACAACUGAAAAACAGCAAGUGCCAAAAGUGUAAGAGAAGGAACAUUCACCUCUAAACACACAUACUCAAAACCUGAAAAUCCAGAUUACCAGAGAAGGAUUUAGCCUUACCUAGGGCCGAAAUGAAUUUAGAGAGCCAAGCAAAAUAUAAAAGCAGAAGCAGUGGGAAGAGCCCCAUAGGCACUCUUGAUCCUCAGGGAAGCCAUUUCUGACUUUAUCUCACAGGGGUCCUUGGGAAGGGCUGCCAGUGGAAUUGGGGAAGGGCUACAGGGAGAAGAAAACUUCCAGCUAAACCCUGUAAGAAUUUUGACCUAGUGGGAAAUCCUUGAGCCUCCAGCCCUAUCCUUCUGGUCAAAAAGGGGCCCACUUUUGUUUUCAAAUCCUGUUUGUGAUGCCAAAAAUGUUCUGUAUGGGAAACGUGGGAGAGGAGAAGAAAAGACAUACAUACAAUAACUUUAAUGGUAAACAAGCUUUAACCCACAUCAAUAUCAAUGCAGACAGAAUAAACUAAUGAUAUAAUAAGCAAAUGAUAUAAUAAGCAAAUAAAUAUAAUACACAGAUUGAUAUAAUAAGCAAAUUGCAGUAAGAAGAGGAGAUGGGAAAAGAUAUAUAUAUAUAUUUACCCUCACUAGACUAUGGAGGAUUACCAACUGAGUAGGAAGAAACAGCCCAGGCUCCAGAGUCGGCCACCCAUUCAUGCACAGACAAGGAGUCUCAUGAAGCUUCAGGGUGGUCUGGGACCCUAGCUCUUUUGUAACGAGUUGUUUGGCAUAAGGCCCAGUGAGGAGGGCCAUUUGGGACUUGCCUCACGGAACACAAAAGGGUCAAGUUGUUUUUGUGAUUGUCUAUUGUUUUUCAACAACUAAUGUAUAGUAAUAGAAUGAAAUAGACAUUUCUUUGAUACAGCUCUGGAUGAACACCUCAGGGGCUCACAACCAGGACCUGUUCUGGGACUUGGUGACCAUUGUGUCCACGUUCAAUUGAGUUCAAAUUUAACAUUUAACUUUUCCUCCAUAAAUUCUCCUGUCUUCAUGAAUUGGCUCUGUCUAGGCAAAGGGCAAAAUGAACCCCUUGGGCUGUUACAUAACCUCCACCUCCUGGGUUCAAGUGAUUCUCCUGCCUCAGCCUCCGGAGUAGCUGGGACCACAGAUGUGCACCACCAUACCCAGCUAAUUUUUUACAUUGUGAGUAGAGAUGGGGUUUCACCAUGUUGGCCAGGCUAGUCUUGAACUCCUGACCUCAAGUGAUCCACCCACCUUGGCCUCCCAAAGUGUUGGGAUUACUGGCAUGAGCUACCUGUGCCUGACCCUAAAUUAUUUCUAUCUCUUAUAGCAGUUUGAAAUUACUUAAAGGUUGUUUCAAGUUGAAAAAAUAAGAAGAAUGUGGAUAAAAAUAAAAUAUAAAUAGAUAAAAAAAUUACAGGGAUUACAAAAUAUAUAUGUAAAUCUGGAGUGGUCAAAAAUGACAAAUUUGAUUUAUUUAUAAGGUUUUAUUAAAAUUAGCUUUAAUCGUUAAUACACUAUUACCAAAGUAAAAGCUGAUUUUCUCUUGAACAAAAAUUUUAUGUAUUAUUAAUAUGACAGCAAAAUACUUCUGUUCACCUUUGAAUACAUUCAACAAGACAGAGAGUAAAAAAGAGAUAAAAUGUUCCCAUGCUCUGGCAUGGACCAGGCUCAGCUCUGGGAGGAAGCCCUGCCUGAAAAGGCUGCAGCUUAGGCUGUCACUCUUUUCUUCACUCCGCCCAGCAGCUGAUCACAUCUUCUGUCACUCAGUGUCUGAGGGGGCGGGACCUUAAGCAUUAGCCAAUCAGAGGCGCUGGGCUGGAAACCGUCCAAUCAGGCACGCAGCUGGAAUGAACAG